AGAUUGAACGCUGGCGGCAGGCCUAACACAUGCAAGUCGAGCGGUAGAGAGGUGCUUGCAUCUCUUGAGAGCGGCGGACGGGUGAGUAAUGCCUAGGAAUCUGCCUAGUGGUGGGGGAUAACGUUCGGAAACGGACGCUAAUACCGCAUACGUCCUACGGGAGAAAGCGGGGGACCUUCGGGCCUCGCGCCAUUAGAUGAGCCUAGGUCGGAUUAGCUAGUUGGUGAGGUAAUGGCUCACCAAGGCGACGAUCCGUAACUGGUCUGAGAGGAUGAUCAGUCACACUGGAACUGAGACACGGUCCAGACUCCUACGGGAGCAGCAGUGGGAAUAUUGGACAAUGGGCGAAAGCCUGAUCCAGCCAUGCCGCGUGUGUGAAGAAGGUCUUCGGAUUGUAAAGCACUUUAAGUUGGAGAAGGUUGUAAACCUAAUACGUUGACAACUUAGACGUUACCGAGGAAUAAGCAACCGGCUAACUUCGUGCCAGCCAGCCG
rnacentral:rRNA from 1 species